rnacentral:lncRNA from 1 species
CAGGGGAACGGGAGGCGGACCCGCGGACGGAUACACACGGUUACCUAGUAACGCGGCUCGCUCAUGCACCUCCGCGCUGCGCAAGCGCCAUCUGCACUGCACCGUGUGACGGCUGAGUGGCAUGACUGGCUCUUCCCGCGCUUCUACGCGUCUCAAGAGAGCCUCAGCGCACCGCAGCGGGAACUCCAAAUCCCAGCAUGCAAUGCUCCAGGGGGCGCUCUCGCGUUACGCUACCCGGGCGCAACGCCUCUUGGGAGCUGUAGUUUUUCAGUCGUAACAGCGCUCAGGACUGUAACUGAAUUAUCGCGUAUCCAGGUGCCGGCGGUUGCCUGCUUGCGUAGCGUCGGGCUCGUUUUGCUUCUAAAAUGAAAUACGAAAACUGUGGUGUACUCUGUAAGUGACUUGACUUUACCAGCCCAGCAGACUAGUAAAAUAAUAACAUCAAAACUGCAAGCCGUGAACAAGGUUCAGAGCAGUUGCCUGGAAAUUGAAGGAAUAGUUAUGGACCACACGUAGUGAGGGAAAAGCGAGUCAUCUCAGCAUUUUGCUCCAAUUUCUACCACAGGCUACAUGACUGUAUACCUGUAAGUGAAAUC